AUUAAGGUGGCAGAGCGGCAAUUGCAUAAAACUUAAAUCUUUAUAAUCAGAGGUUCAAAUCCUCUCCUUAAUA
rnacentral:tRNA from 1 species